rnacentral:rRNA from 1 species
UACAGAGGUCUCAAGCGGUGUCCGGAAUUAUUGGGCGUAAAGGGCUCGUAGGCGGUCCGUCACGUCGGGCGUGAAAACUCAGGGCUCAACCCUGAGCGUGCUUCCGAUACGGGCGGACUAGAGGUAUGCAGGGGAGAACGGAAUUCCUGGUGUAGCGGUGGAAUGCGCAGAUAUCAGGAGGAACACCGGUGGCGAAGGCGGUUCUCUGGGCCUUACCUGACGCUGAGGAGCGAAAGCGUGGGGAGCGAACAGG